rnacentral:rRNA from 1 species
CUGGGCUUAAGCGUACGUAGGCGGAUGUGCAGGCGUCGUGUGAAAGCCCUCGGCUCAACCGAGGAAUUGCACGGCGAACCGCACGUCUUGAGACAAGUAGGGGCGGUCGGAACGAUAGGUGGAGUGGUGAAAUGCGUUGAUAUCUAUCGGAACGCCGAUGGUGAAGACAGGCCGCUGGGCUUGUUCUGACGCUGAGGUACGAAAGCAUGGGGAGCGAACGGGAUUAGAUACCCCGGUAGUCCAUGCCGUAAACGAUGUGCACUAGAUCGAGGAGGUUCUGAUACUUUCUCGGCCGAAGUAAAAACGUUGAGUGCACCGCCUGGGGAGUACGGUCGCAAGGCUAAAACUCAAAGGAAUUGACGGGGGCUCACACAAGCGGUGGAGCAUGUGGCUCAAUUCGAAGCAACGCGAAGAACCUUAUCCUAGGUUUGACAUGCACGGAUUAGUCGGCAGAAACGUCGAUGACACUCUCGUAGUGGAACGUGCACAGGUGCUGCAUGGCUGUCGUCAGCUCGUGCUGUGAAGUGUCGGGUUAAGUCCCUUAACGAGCGAAACCCCUAUCGCUAGUUGCCACCAGGUUAUGCUGAGCACUCUAGCGAGACUGCCGGUGUUAAACCGGAGGAAGGUG